UACGAAGGGGGCUAGCGUUGCUCGGAAUCACUGGGCGUAAAGGGUGCGUAGGCGGGUCUUAAGUCAGGGGUGAAAUCCUGGAGCUCAACUCCAGAACUGCCUUUGAUACUGAAGAUCUUGAGUUCGGGAGAGGUGAGUGGAACUGCGAGUGUAGAGGUGAAAUUCGUAGAUAUUCGCAAGAACACCGGUGGCGAAGGCGGCUCACUGGCCCGAUACUGACGCUGAGGCACGAAAGCGUGGGGAGCAAACAGG
rnacentral:rRNA from 1 species